rnacentral:rRNA from 1 species
CCUACGGGAGGCAGCAGUGGGGAAUAUUGGGCAAUGGAGGCAACUCUUACCCAGCAAUGCCGCGUGAAUGAAGAAGGUCUUCGGAUUGUAAAGUUCUUUAAUUGGGGACGAAAAAAAUGACGGUCCCCAAGGAAUAAGCCCCGCCUAAUUACGUGCCAGCAGCGGCGGUAAUACGUAGGGGGCAAGCGUUGUUCGGAAUGACUGGGCGUAAAGGGUGUGUAGGCGGUGUAGCAAGUUAGAAGGGAAAUACCGGGGGCUUAACUCAGGGGCUGCUUCUAAAACUGCUAGACUUGAGUGCGGGAGAGGAAGGUGGAAUUCCUAGUGUAGCGGUGGAAUGCGUAGAUAUUAGGAGGAACAUCAGUGGCGAAGGCGACUUGCUGGACUGUAACUGACGCUGAGGCACGAAAGUGUGGGGAGCAAACAGGAUUAGAUACCCGUGUAGUC